rnacentral:tRNA from 1 species
UCCUUGGUGGUCUAGCGGUUAGGACUCUGCGCUCUCACUGCUGAGGUCUGGGUUCAAUCCCUGGUCUAGGAA